GACCCUGCCAGCCUUGUGCCCUCUGUGGUGGCCCUGCCAUCCCUGUGCCUUCCUUGGUGGCCCUGCCACCCCUGUGCCCUCUGUGGUGGCCCUGCCAUCCCUGUGCCUUCCUUGGUGGCCCUGCCAUCCCUGUGCCUUCCUUGGUGGCCCUGCCAUCCCUGUGCCUGAUCUUGGUGGCCCUGCCACUCCUGUGCCUUCCUUGGUGGCCCUGCCAGCCCUGUGCCUUCCUUGGUGGCCCUGCCAUUCCUGUGUCCUCCUUGGUGGCCCUGCCAUCCCUGUGCCUUCCUUGGUGGCCCUGCCACUCCUGUGCCCAACUUGGUGGCCCUAGAACAAAGUCUGGAGUGCCACCAACAGGGUGACAAGGGACACCCAUGGGAUACCCGUGGCGGACACUCUUUGCUUUGGCAAUUCCAAGCUUCAUCUCUGUGGCCACAUUCCAACUCUUUCCACUCUGGCCAAAUUCCCUGAGAUUUGGAGGCUGGCUCCAGGCUGAUCCCAGCUCCAGGCUGAUCCCAGCUCCAGGCUGAUCCCAGCUCCAGGUUGAUCCCACAUCCAGGCUGAUCCCAGCUCCAGGCUGAUCCCAGCUCCAGGUUGAUCCCAGCUCCAGGUUGAUCCCAGAUCCAGGCUGAUCCCAGCUCCAGGCUGAUCCCAGCUCCAGGUUGGCCCCAGCUCCAGGCUGAUCCCAGCUCCAGGCUGAUCCCAGCUCCAGGUUGAUCCCAGCUCCAGGCUGAUCCCAGCUCCAGGCUGAUCCCAGCUCCAGGUUGAUCCCAGCUCCUGCACUCUCUAACCCCCGUUCCCACAGGAAACGUGGCUCUAACCCACACUGAGCUUCACACUAAGCAAAAAAUUUCAAAUAAAAGCCUUUUCCCAUCAUG